rnacentral:lncRNA from 1 species
AUAUUUUGGGANCCCUGCAGGCUUGGAGCUGCUCAUAGGGACAGAAUUCCAUCUGGGAACUCAUCCCUGCAGGCUUGGAGAUGGUGUGAGGGGCAGAAUUCCACCUGGGAAUACAUCCCCACAGGCUUGGAGCUGCUCAUAGGGGCAGAAUUCCAUCUGGGAACACAGCCCAGAGCUCUGGAACUGCUCAUAGGGGCAGAAUUCCACCUGGGAACUCAUCCCUACAAGCUUGGAACUUGCAGGAAGAAUGAUAUUCCACCUGGGAACUCAUCCCCACAGGCUUGGAACUGCUCACAGGGGCAGAAUUCCACCUGGGAACUCAUCCCUGCAGGCUUGGAACUAGCAGCAAGAACAGUAUUCCACUUGGGAACACAUUCCCACAGGCUUGGAGCUGCUCACAGGGGCAGAAUUCCAUCUGGGAACUCAUCCCCACAGGUCUGGAGCUGCUCACAGGGACAGAAUUCCACCUGGGAACACAGCCCUGCAGGCUUGGAGCUGCUCAUAGGGGCAGAAUUCCACCUGGGAACUCAUCCCUACAAGCUUGGAACUUGCAGGAGGGAUGAUAUUCCACCUGGGAACUCAUCCCCACAGACUUGGAACUGCUCACAGGGGCAGAAUUCCAUCUGGGAACACAGCCCAGAGCCAUGGAGAUGGUGGCAGGGGCAGAAUUCCAUCUGGGAACACAGCCCUGCAGGCUUGGAGCUGCUCAGAGGGGCAGUGUUCCACCUGGGAACUCAUCCCCACAGGUUUGGAACUAGCAGCAAGAACAGUAUUCCACUUGGGAACACAGCCCAGAGCCAUGGAGAUGGUGGCAGGGGCAAUAUUCCACUUGGGAACACAUUCCCACAGGUUUGGAACUGCUCAGAGGGGCAGAAUUCCACCUGGGAACACAGCCCCACAUCCCUGGAACUGCUCAGAGGGGCAGAAUUCCACCUGGGAACUCAUCCCCACAGGCUUGGAGCUUCCAUGCUUUUCAUGGAAACAUCUCAAAACCCUCAGCAUCUCACAAGGAUGGGUAAACACAAACAGGACGUGCUGGGAACAUGCGAGAGACCCUUUCAAUCACCCCUAAACCUUCUCCCAUGGAGUCCCCCUGCCCAUCCAUGA